rnacentral:rRNA from 1 species
CCUACGGGAGGCUGCAGUAGGGAAUAUUGCGCAAUGGGGGAAACCCUGAAGCAGCAACGCCGCGUGGGGGAUGAAGGUUUUCGGAUUGUAAACUCCUUUUAGUAGAGAAGAUAAUGACGUUAUCUAACGAAUAAGCACCUGCUAACUCCUGGCCAGCAACCGCGGUAAUACGGAGGGUGCAAGCUUUAAUUGGAAUGACUGGGCGUAAAGAGCGCGGAGGCGGGAUAGCAAGUCAGAUGUGAAAUCCCAUGGCUUAACCAUAGAACUGCAUUUGAAACUGUGAUUCUGGAGUAUGGGAGAGGUAGGUGGAAUUCUUGGUGUAGGGGUAAAAUCCGUAGAGAUCAAGAGGAACA